UGGGGAAUAUUGCACAAUGGGCGCAAGCCUGAUGCAGCCAUGCCGCGUGUAUGAAGAAGGCCUUCGGGUUGUAAAGUACUUUCAGCGGGGAGGAAGGGAGUAAAGUUAAUACCUUUGCUCAUUGACGUUACCCGCAGAAGAAGCACCGGCUAACUCCGUGCCAGCAGCCGCGGUAAUACGGAGGGUGCAAGCGUUAAUCGGAAUUACUGGGCGUAAAGCGCACGCAGGCGGUUUGUUAAGUCAGAUGUGAAAUCCUCGGGCUCAACCUGGGAACUGCAUCUGAUACUGGCAAGCUUGAGUCUCGUAGAGGGGGGUAGAAUUCCAGGUGUAGCGGUGAAAUGCGUAGAGAUCUGUAGGAAUACCGGUGGCGAAGGCGGCCCCCUGGACGAAGACUGACGCUCAGGUGCGAAAGCGUGGGGAGCAAACAGG
rnacentral:rRNA from 1 species